AUUGAACGCUGGCGGCAUGCUUUACACAUGCAAGUCGAACGGCAGCACGGACUUCGGUCUGGUGGCGAGUGGCGAACGGGUGAGUAAUACAUCGGAACGUGCCCAGUUGUGGGGGAUAACUACUCGAAAGAGUAGCUAAUACCGCAUGAGAACUGAGGUUGAAAGAAGGGGAUCGGAAGACCUUGCGCAACUGGAGCGGCCGAUGGCAGAUUAGGUAGUUGGUGGGAUAAAAGCUUACCAAGCCGACGAUCUGUAGCUGGUCUGAGAGGACGACCAGCCACACUGGGACUGAGACACGGCCCAGACUCCUACGGGAGGCAGCAGUGGGGAAUUUUGGACAACGGGCGAAAGCCUGAUCCAGCAAUGCCGCGUGCAGGAUGAAGGCCUUCGGGUUGUAAACUGCUUUUGUACGGAACGAAAAGCUUCGGGUUAAUACCCUGGAGUCAUGACGGUACCGUAAGAAUAAGCACCGGCUAACUACGUGCCAGCCGCCGCCGUAA
rnacentral:rRNA from 1 species